rnacentral:lncRNA from 1 species
AUGCCCCGCAGCUGCUCCGGGAGCAGGGCUGAGGCUCGCUCCCGUCACGCUCGUGUCACACUCACGCCGGGAUCAUCUUUCCGGAGCUCUGGUGACUUCCCCUGCCCUUCCCGGGUGCCGGCUCAGGCCGUGACUCAGCAGCUGAGUCACGCACCGUCUGUCUCGGCGUCUCGGCAGUCCCGGGCAGGGCGAAGCUGGAGCCAGGCAGCAGCCGCUUGCCCAGUGCCCCAGCAGGUGCCUGCCCCGCUGGCGCUCGCAGCUCACCCUGCCCAGGCAGCCCCUUCCCGGUGCCACCCCCGGUGCUGGCACCCCCCGGCUCCCAGCCUGGGUCCCUUCCCAGCUGCUGUGGAUGGGUUUGAUCCCGGCAGGAACCCGCCAGCCUUCCCCUCCCACGCAACAGGAGCCCCGUCCCUGCUGCCUGUGAUCCCUGCCCUUUUGGCUCCCGUCUCAUUUUCCCUCUGGAGCUGGGAGGCUCGCAGCCAGCUCCCUCCCCGGGGUGAGCCGGCCUGGGCCUGGGAGCUGCUGCUGCUUCCCCACCAGGUCUCCUCUGCUGCCCCACAGAAACACCACCUGCUGGGCACGGGGGCAGAGAGCGGAUGGGGGAGGCUGGGACCCCUGUGCUGGGCUCCCCAUGGUGCCCCCCUGUGUGCCCGGGUGCCCCCAUCUGUCUGUGCCACCCCAGGGCCCUGCCCUCGCUCGUGCCCUGCUGGCUGUGAGGCACCUCUUGUGGUUUGGAGCAGCUGGAGCCUGGAGCUGUGCUUCCAGCGUGGUGAGAGCGCGAUGUGGCUGUGCUGCUGGCCACGGGGUACAGAGGGGCUGGGAGUCACCACAGCUGGAGACUUGUGCAGCAUGGGACAAGUGACCCAGCCUCUCCAUGCUCACGCUUCCCAGCCCAGCAGAUGGGCAGCAGCUUUCUGUGGGGCUCAGGGGCUCAGCGUGGGUGCGGAGCUGCCCCAUGUGCUGUGCCCGCAGGGGCUGUGCCCAGGCAGCUGCUCGCUGCCCUCUGGGGUUUGCUCGAGUGUCAGCUGGGGGCUGCAGCAGCAGAAGCCCCGGCUCCUGCUUCUUGCGCAGCGUGGAGAUGCAGGGGGUGAGGGAGGUGAUGCUCAGGCUGUGGCUUUGGCUCCGUGGGGCAGUGAUGGCCCUGGAGGGGUGUGUGGGGCAGUGCCAGGGGUGGCAAGGUGGCCAGAGAGCGGGUGCUUGGCCUGCCCCUGGGAUCCAGCCCCUGGCAGCGCCGUGCUGACCCUGGCUGUCCCAGGGCUCGGUGCCUCAUACUGGGGUGCAGCGAUCAGGGCAGGAAUGGCGAGGGCUCCUGGUGGCCAGGCAGGGACUGGGGCGAAGAGAAGGUUUGGGGAGCAGAAGUGGGACCUGCCCUCACUGCUGGCCCCGGGGGCAGCGCUGCCCCUCGGGCCCUGCUGA